UACGUAGGGGGCAAGCGUUGUCCGGAUUUAUUGGGCGUAAAGCGCUCGCAGGUGGUUCAUUGCGUCGUGCGUGAAAGGCCCCGGCUCAACUGGGGAGGGUCGUGCGAAACGGGUGAACUAGAGGCCAGUAGGGGGAUGCGGAAUUCCGGGUGUAGUGGUGGAAUGCGUAGAGAUCCGGAGGAACACCAGCGGCGAAGGCGGCAUCCUGGACUGGUCCUGGCACUCAGGAGCGAAAGCGUGGGGAGCGAUCCGG
rnacentral:rRNA from 1 species